AACGAACGCUGGCGGCAUGCCUAACACAUGCAAGUCGAACGAGACCUUCGGGUCUAGUGGCGCACGGGUGCGUAACGCGUGGGAACCUGCCCUUAGGUUCGGAAUAACUCCCCGAAAGGGGUGCUAAUACCGGAUAAUGUCUUCGGACCAAAGAUUUAUCGCCUUUGGAUGGGCCCGCGUUGGAUUAGCUAGUUGGUAGGGUAAAAGCCUACCAAGGCGACGAUCCAUAGCUGGUCUGAGAGGAUGAUCAGCCACACUGGGACUGAGACACGGCCCAGACUCCUACGGGAGGCAGCAGUGGGGAAUAUUGGACAAUGGGCGAAAGCCUGAUUCAGCAAUGCCGCGUGAGUGAUGAAGGCCUUAGGGUUGUAAAGCUCUUUUACCCGGGAUGAUAAUGACAGUACCGGGAGAAUAAGCUCCGGCUAACUCCG
rnacentral:rRNA from 1 species